UCUGGCAAGCCAUGACGAGGGCCGCUACCCUGCUCCACUCUCUGCAACAAAUUUUAUGUGGCUCCACUACUCUCUGGCAAAUCAUGACAAUGGCCACCACUCCACUCUCCGUAACCAACUCUACGUGACCCUGAGUGACCUCUGACGCCACUACUUUCUGUAACAAACUCCAGAUGGCUCUGAACAGCCCACGAUCAGGUGGUUACAGACGUCGCUGUCAAUCGGUUAUGCUCUCCAUCUAUAAAUAAGCACCAUCAGAUACGUUCUUCUCUAAGCUCUG
rnacentral:lncRNA from 1 species